ACUUUACGACGUAGCGUUAAAUUAUUUUCUAGGAAAAAUGUCGCGUGUAAUUCAUAUAAAUAUUUCAUGAGAAUUCGAAACGCGCUGUACGCUUCAUUCCGUUCCUGGCAUUUAUCAUUUAAUAAUUACGCACCUGUGUCAUACAUGUAUCCAAGAUGCCGUACAUAUCGUGCGAUAUUACGCAAUAAUAAUUUAAAAUGACAACUAUACGAAUAAGUAAGAUAAAAAUACCAAUACGAAAUCAUUUGACACGGGUAGAAUCGAUUUUAUACUUGAAUAUCUUUCCGAUUAUAUAUGAGAAUAUAUGAUGUUAUCGUCGCUUCUAGGCACUACAUAUCGAUACAGCGGAAAUAGAAUUCACGUUUUGUUCGAAAGGAAGUCCCUGACAAAAGAAAUAUAUAUGCGUCCAAGUUUUAAAUGAAAUCGAUAAUAGAAUGGAAUAUGUUUUGAUUCGAAUAUUUAUUUAAAGUACAAAUUCUUGUCUACGAUCUUUAACGUUUAUUAUGUGAUUUUUUGAAAAAUAUUUGACAAAAUACAACCUAGAAGAAAAGAGGAGAAAUAAAAAUGAACGAACACAUUAAUUCCAUUCCAGAGAAGCCAUUUCUCUUUUGGGAAAAACGUUCAUCUUAUUAAAAGAUAACUAAAGUAUAGAUCUUGGGGUAUAGUUUUUUUUCCCUCUCAAAUUCGUCCGCUCGGAAGCAUCUGCUUCCGUGAAGCGAUUCGCGCGAAACGAAAGCAAUUCUCAGCGUUAACGGGGUGCGGUCGGCUAGCAUAAAGACUUUUUGCAAUGAAUUCUUGACUUUCCUGCAAGUCUCAGUCUUCUAUCAUCGUCCUCAGAAUUUAUUCGCAAAUCAUCAUGAUUGCAGCAAUGGCUAUGUAUAUAUAUAUGUAUAUAUGAUUGUAAAGAAUACUCCUCGUAUCACAUAUUUUCACU